AUCCGGACGGGUGAGUAACACGUAAGCAACCUGCCUAUCAGAGGGGAACAACAGUUAGAAAUGACUGCUAAUACCGCAUAUGCCAUGAGUAUCGCAUGAUACAAAUGGGAAAGGAGCAAUCCGCUGAUAGAUGGGCUUGCGUCUGAUUAGCUAGUUGGUGUGGUAAAGGCAUACCAAGGCGACGAUCAGUAGCCGGAUUGAGAGGUUGAACGGCCACAUUGGGACUGAGAUACGGCCCAGACUCCUACGGGAGGCAGCAGUCGGGAAUAUUGCGCAAUGGAGGAAACUCUGACGCAGUGACGCCGCGUGCAGGAAGAAGGUUUUCGGAUUGUAAACUGCUUUAGACAGGGAAGAAGAAGGACAGUACCUGUAGAAUAAGCUCCGGCUAACUACGUGCCAGCAGCCGCGGUAAUACGUAGGGAGCAAGCGUUAUCCGGAUUUAUUGGGUGUAAAGGGUGCGUAGACGGGAAGGCAAGUUAGUUGUGAAAUCCCUCGGCUUAACUGAGGAACUGCAACUAAAACUACAUUUCUUGAGUGCUGGAGAGGAAAGUGGAAUUCCUAGUGUAGCGGUGAAAUGCGUAGAUAUUAGGAGGAACACCAGUGGCGAAGGCGACUUUCUGGACAGUAACUGACGUUGAGGCACGAAAGUGUGGGGAGCAAACAGGAUUAGAUACCCUGGUAGUCCACACCGUAAACGAUGGAUACUAGGUGUAGGGGAUGAAUAAUCUUCUGUGCCGUCGCAAACGCAGUAAGUAUCCCACCUGGGGAGUACGGCCGCAAGGUUGAAACUCAAAGGAAUUGACGGGGGCCCGCACAAGCAGUGGAGUAUGUGGUUUAAUUCGACGCAACGCGAAGAACCUUACCAGGGCUUGACAUAUACAUGAAUACUUAAGAGAUUAAGUAGCUUUUCGGAGCAUGUAUACAGGUGGUGCAUGGUUGUCGUCAGCUCGUGUCGUGAGAUGU
rnacentral:rRNA from 1 species